rnacentral:rRNA from 1 species
AUUGAACGCUGGCGGCAUGCCUAACACAUGCAAGUCGAACGAGAAAGGGGAGCAAUCCCUGAGUACAGUGGCGCACGGGUGAGUAACACGUGACUAAUCUACCCUCGAGCGGGGAAUAACCAAGGGAAACCUUGGCUAAUACCGCAUAAUACCUACGGGUCAAAGGAGCAAUCCACUUGAGGAGGAGGUCGCGGCCGAUUAGCUAGUUGGCGGGGUAAUGGCCCACCAAGGCAUUGAUCGGUAUCCGGCCUGAGAGGGCGCACGGACACACUGGAACUGAAACACGGUCCAGACUCCUACGGGAGGCAGCAGUGGGGAAUUUUGCGCAAUGGGGGAAACCCUGACGCAGCAACGCCGCGUGGAGGAUGAAGUCCCUUGGGACGUAAACUCCUUUCGAUCGGGACGAUAAUGACGGUACCGGAAGAAGAAGCCCCGGCUAACUUCGGAGUGUAGCGUUUG